GAGAAGGGGGAGGGCAGAACUGAAAUGAGAACAGGACUCAAGACUCCUAGGCCCUGGUCCCUGAGCCUAACAUGGGUGUUACCCUAGGAGUUUAGACACCAAUUAAAUUACCUACAAAUUUCUCUAACAAAGGGUAAGCAAGGUUGUGGCCCUAAAGGAAUUGCUAGGGUUUUCCCCAGGGGGCUUGUCUCUGACCUGCAGAGGGCUCCCUAGAGCAAGCUAGUCUUGUUGACCCCUGAAAGGACACCCAUACCUAGGGACAGCAAAUGUGAAAAAUCGGGACGGGGUGGGGAGUAAUAGGAGCCUAUACAAGAAAAAGACCCAAAAAUCAGGACUGUGCCUAUAAAAUCGGGACAUCUGGUCACCCUACACAUACCACCUUCUGCUCAAGGAUUAACACACAAGCAGAAAUUCUUCAAAAACAAAUAUUAAAAAAACCCUAAAGUUACAGGAAAUUUAGAAAAGGAAGAAAGUGCAUAGAAAUAGAACAAUAGAAUUACAUUCAAAUACACAGCACAGCACACAAAGAGGCAGACUAUAUAACAAUGUAAUCAUUCAUUUAACAUGUAACACUAACAAUUAUUUAAUAACUACAUUAAUAUUUACAUUAUCAUUCUGAGGGCUGAUCAGAGAAUCAUAGGACUGGAAGGGACUUCGAGAGGUCAUCUAGUCCAGUCCCCUGCACUCAUGGCAGGACUAAGUAUUAUCUAGACCAUUCCUGACAAGUGUUUGUCAAACCUGCUCUUAUAAAUCCCUAAUGAUGGAGAUUCCACAACUUCCUUAGGUGAUUUAUUCUAGUGCUUAGCCACCCUGACAGGAAGUUUUUCCUAAUCUCCAAUCUAAACUACCCUUGCUGCAAUUUAAAGCCCAUUGCUUCUUGUCCUGUUCUCAGAGGUUCAGAAGAACAAUUUUUCUCCCUCCUUGUAACAACCUUUUACAUAUUUGAAAACUGUUAUGUCCUCCCUCAGCCUUCAGGGUGGGUAGUGGAAAUCUCAUUCAAACAUAGGCAUCCAGCUUUACUGACAGAUGCACCCAUAUGUUCCUUACUAAUAGAUGGGGAAAUGCACUUACUUCUAUUAGCCCCUCAGUAUCUCUUGAACCCUCAAGGUCCUUCUGCUCUGUCUCAGUGCUGUUCCCCUCAGAUGGUACAUGAUGCUAACACCGAUUAUGGCAAGCAGCUGAGGAAGCGAUAGUGGCCCUCCAACAGCAGUUACAGAGCUGCUACUGGUGGAGGCUAUUGGCUUGGUUGCUACAGCAAUUGUUGCCAGGGCAAUCUCAGGGUUCUCUUGCUGCUGCAACUCUUGCUUCUUGAGGCUUCUCGCAGGCAGUGUCUUUCUGGAACCCCAAAGCAACCCCCUGCCAAAGCCUCACAAGACUCCACCCAAAAUCUAGCUAGUUUUGCUUGCUGCAUCUUGAUGCCUCUUGUAAGUGGCAGCUCUUCGGAACCCCAAAGCAACCCCCACCCAAAGCCUCACAAGAGUCUACCCAAAGCUGCCUAGGAACCCUCUUCCCAGAUAGGAGUCUGGCAGCUUUUGUUUUUCUUGAAGGUCCCAAACUGCUACGAUGUCAGCCUUAUAUACACUUUCCAGCCUACGCUGCUCAUCUCUGAUUGGUCGCCUUUCAGUGGCAUGAUAUUUUCUCCAUCUCUGAUUUGUUGCUCUUUCAGUGGGAUGAUAUUCUCUUAGCCAAUCAGCUACCUGCUUUCUAACUCAUGUGUACCUACAUGUGACUGCUCCUCCCUGACACCAUCUUGGGUUCUAGGAGUUCCUAGAAAGUUCUAGGUGAUCUUUCCCUGUAUCUGUAUUUGGAUUUUCUAAAUUUAAACUAUUUUUAAUUUUUACUUAUUUAAAGCCUUAAUUUUAAAACUAAUUACUAUUUUAUGCAGACUAAAGUAUCCUGAUGCUGUCACCACUCUUUUUAUGUCCAACUGAGAAAAAAAUUACAAAUUUAAACCCCCUUCCAAGAUUUUUCUUCAAGCCUUUAUUCAGAACAUUCAUGGCAAAAAUCUCUCACUACACUGGUAGUCCUCGCUUGAGCCUAGGGUAAAAUAAGCAUCCAAGUACUUAACUCAAUUGACCUGAACAAAAGCAGUGAGAGAGUUUCUUUAAUUCUGUACCUAAUCAAAAAAUGUUAACAAGUGAGCCUCCAGCAACACAUCAUUCAGUAUGUGGGGUUUUUGUAAUUCACUAUUUUUCAGUUCUUUCUUUAAUCUGAUUGUAAACAAGUUUGAUUUGAGUUUAAACUUUAACCUAUUUUUACUAAGACUUGAGCAUAGUGGAAUAAGGUGUCUUUAUUCCCACAUGGACAUAAACAUGUAUACAUGACCCACAACAUACCUGACUAAUGGUGCAGUGCUAUGGCUGACAUGAACCACUUUACCUAAACAAACAAGGGUAAUCAAAUGUUAUAUUUCAUGGCAUUAAAAAACAGAUUUUUUACUACUCCAUAAUCCACACCCUAAUUCAAGAGUUGGUACCAUUAAGGUAAUUAGGACUACUUGUGGAGUAAGGUAGUAAUCAAUGUGAAAGAGGGAGGCAAAAAUCUGUCCCUAAAUUAGCCUGUCCUUCAAAAAAACCCAAAAAAAACAACUUACCAUCCUAUCAACAUCAGUAGUGAAUGCAAUUGAUUUACAAUAUUCUGCAUAAAGUACGACAGUACUUCUUUGCGUGUGCUCUAAAUACUCUAGCAGCUCUCUUAGUUUUAUCACAUGUCUCCUUAAUAAGUAAUAAGAACUUUGGCUGCCUCUCAUGCAAAAUAACCUGGAUUUGUUGACUUUCAAGGUAUACUGCAGGACUCAUUUGUUUCACUUGCCUUUCAAAGAGAGCCAGGAGAAUUGAGCUAUAGGCUGAGGUAUGAUUUGAAUUUUGUAUUUAAUUCCAAGCUGCUAUUUCUUGCAAGGGGCAAGCUGCCUGAAUUGCAUUUUUGGUUUUGUAAUUUUAAACAACUGGCAGGGUGGUCAAAGUCUAUGGAUAGGUGGCCUUUUUGUUAUGCUGCAUAAAAGAAAUAAGUCAAUAAAGCAGGGAUCCAGUGGGAAAAAUAGUGUGUGAUGAUAUAAUUGAAGACUGUCAUAAUACAUGUGGACAAAGGAUCUAAUUAAGGUUGCACAGGCAACCUUAAUUUUGGCAUUUCCUAACAUUUGAGUGUUUGACUUUGCAAUCUUAAUGUUCAUCUAAUUUAGUUUUCUAUGUAAUUUCCUAAAUUAAAAAAAAGUAAAAAUUUG